rnacentral:snoRNA from 1 species
UAGUUCUUGACUAGGAAAUGUGUUUCGAAAGAGUUACGUCUCCCACACCACGAUGAAGAGUCUCGAUACUCUCUUCUGAGCGUGAAUCGGGUGUAGAGUAAUGAUUUGUUUCAUACGCAAUGCAUCAUUGAUGAACGUUCCUUAUUGCUAUUAUGCAGUUUGGAGGAAGAGAGUAUGAUCAGAGUGGU